CAGCAGCCGCGGGAAUACAGAGGGUGCGAGCGUUAAUCGGAUUUACUGGGCGUAAAGCGUGCGUAGGCGGCUUUUUAAGUCGGAUGUGAAAUCCCUGAGCUUAACUUAGGAAUUGCAUUCGAUACUGGGAAGCUAGAGUAUGGGAGAGGAUGGUAGAAUUCCAGGUGUAGCGGUGAAAUGCGUAGAGAUCUGGAGGAAUACCGAUGGCGAAGGCAGCCAUCUGGCCUAAUACUGACGCUGAGGUACGAAAGCAUGGGGAGCAAACAGGAUUAGAGACCCGUGUAGUCACUGUCUCUUAUAC
rnacentral:rRNA from 1 species